AAAUCACGGCACUUCGCAGCAAAAUUGAAAGAGAGAACCCUAAAUUUUCACUUUCCCGGGUUCUCCAAAAUUUCCAUCUCUGAGUUUCAAUUUCCCACCAUGGAAUCUCGCCAAAUUCACUUUAGAAUUCACCCCGUUUAUUUUACUCACACACAGGUAUCAGUGUGGAAGAAAGAUGAAAAAAAGAAACCGAGCUUUAUCAACGUGCUCUGAUGCUCAAUCACCCAUCGAGCAUCACUGACUUCGACCUAUAGCUUUUCUUCCUUGCAUAGUCUUCUUUUGCUAUUCUUAAGUGCUCAGGCUGUCUCUGGUUCCAGUAUACUCUUAGAGUUCUCUGCUCUGAAAGGUACCAACUUCUCUCUCUUUUUUUUCAAAUUAUUUCUUUGAGUUUCUUUGUAGGAUGUUUGUUUUGGGAUUGAUAUUGAUGAUUCUGAAGUGGGUAUCUGCGUUUUCUGUUUAUACUGGGCUGUACGACUUUUGCGUUCGUGUUCCUGUACAAAAACUUUGUAUUUUGGCUUGAAACUUUUAUAUGUAAAAUAGACGUUCCAAUCGUUCUUUGGUUAAAAUUUCAUAAAAUUCCAGUCCGUUUUGAAGUCUACAUGAUUUUCCCAAUUUGGGAUAGAGGUACAGGAUUUUCUGCCAACAGAAUUAAAAAACGUCUUGCAGUCAUCAGUUGAAAGGCCAAAUGAUUUAUUUCAGUCUUCAUAUUUUUCUGGGACGUUUAUCUCUGUGUUUAGUUUAUUUUUACAAAUUUUCAAGAAUUUAUAUCUUAUAGUUAUUUUUAUAAAAUUCGAAAAUCAUCUGAACCAUGCCUGUUUAAAUUGAGAGAUUUGUUUCGGUUGCGGUUUCAAGGGAAACCUUUGGGUUCAUGGAAUUAUGGUUUUGCUCUCAAAUUUUUAAAUUGUUCUAGCUGUUGAGUCUUAAAUGGUUUUGUUAAAUUUCAAUAAUUUUAAGAUGGUAUUGAAACCUAUGGAGUUUUUGGAAUAUCCAUUGACAGUGACAGUUUUAAGUCUGGGCAGCAACAGUGGUCGUUUUUGGAAAAUUAUUUGGUCAAGUUUUUGCUCUUCUUUUGACUUGAUAUUUUUACAGUAGAUACUUGAGGUUGUCUAGUUUUAUCUUGUAAAUUUUCAAGGGGUUUAGUUUAUGAGUGUAGCAAGUGAGAUUUUUCAUUUGGACAUAGGUCCUGCUAAGGUGCUUUUAACGCAGAUUGUAAGGUUCUAGUUCGUGCCUCAUUUUGAGUGUUUGUUUGCUUUAAGCUGAGAAAUAUCAACUUAGGAUGCCCUGCCGGUUGCUGGUAUAACUUUUUCAAUUGAGGUAAGUAAUUCUAGACUCUUCCUGGGAUCACAAUAAACAUAUAUGUGCUAUUGUUUUGUUGUGGUUUAUACGUUUGAUGUUUAUGCAUGUGUACAAUUGUGUAAACUCCUAGUUGGUAGUGAAACUAAGCAGAUGUAUAUACAUACACAGUGUGUACAUAUACAGAUAUAUGUUUAAUGACAUGAAUAAAUGGUUUGUGCUCUAUGUUAUGAGAAUUAGAAAACAGGUUAAUGCCUAUAUGAAUGUUUGUUAUCUAGAAAGCUUUGUGUUUGUCAUGCUCUUGGUAGGCAUAUGGAGCUUCUGUCUUGUGUCUCUAUAUUCAUAUGGAGACCGAUUGGUACAUGUGGGAGGGCCUAUCGAUGAUCACGAUAGGAGUCUGGCUCUAGCCUUUGGGUGUGAGUAUUUGUUCGAGUUAAUGUGAUGAUCUUGAUGUGUCUGAUGCUUAGAGGAAUUGGCAGCAAUAUUAGCUAGGUUGAGGAGCUUAAUUAGGUAGUUCGCUAGAUGUUUUUGUUAAAACAUUUAUUUUUGGGAAUAUUUGUGGAAUAGUUUAUCUUUCUAUUCUUGUUGGCAAUAUCAAAAUUCUCAAAGGAUUGUUCUUUCAAAACUUCGAAGCUUGGAAGUUUAUUGUUAAGAAAAUAUUUUUUCUGCUUUUGUCAUCAUUAAGUUAUAAAUUUGUUAUGUUGUCUACGAAAAAUUUGGGGCGUGACACUAUCAUAUGAAGUGUUUUCGUAUUUCAAAACAACCAUUACUUGUUCCUCACCAACUCAUCCAGAAUUCAUAUUUCUGCAAGAACCAGGUAUUGUUCUCUCUAUUCCUCGAUGUACAUUUGUAUUAUUUUCGAGUAUUUUGUUAUAGUAAUUUUUAACUAGUUUUAUUGUGCAACUGUCAAGUAACCUACUAUCUGUGAGUUUAAGAAUCGAUUUGGUUGAGUUGUCAUUUAUCUUUGUAUAAGAAAUGACUUUAUUGAAUCAUAGGUUUGACAUUUUCAAACAUUUGUCAGAAAUUUUACAUGGAAGCAAAUUCUGUUGGGAUUGGAAAGGCUCAGAAAGAUACAAGUCCAAACACACUUUCAUGGUACUUCUGCAUGCUCAGCAAGAACCCUCUAAUAAGGACAAAGUUGCACAAGAAGUGAGGGAUGUCGUUGGUAUAAAUCAUGAAGCUAACAUUGAUGAAUUUGUGGCAGAUAUAACUGUUGCAGCUCUCGAACAAAUGCAUCAUCUUCACGCUACUCUAACUGAGACUUUGAGGCUAUAGCCUGCAGUUCCUCUGGUACGUAUGUUGAGGACUAGCAAAAGAAAGAUCAAAAGGCUAAUAAAGUACAUUAACUACCGGGAUUAUACACGGUACUUCUAUGCAUCAAUUUUAGCUUCAUGAGUAUUAAAAACUAAAAAGACAUGCUAAGCAGCAGCUUGAGUUUCUUCAGGUGUUUCCUCUUCUGUCAUCAGUCUAUAUACAUGUUCCAUGCUCAUGAUGCUCCGUUAGGUAACUGCUCCUUGUUGAGUUAAAAAUUGCACAAAAUGGAAAAUGUCACCCAACGUAAUUUCACUCGUAUUCAUUAAUAGAAUAGAGUUUUAAUUAUUUCGGGUUCGACUCAUUCAAGACAGAAUGUGUCUCUUAAUUAUAAUCCUUGUUACGGGGAAACACCAUUUGAUUCCAUUUAUGAAGAAAUCAAUUGAUGGGAUAUGUGUUUGUUUGGUUUUUCGGAUUGGCUGAAUUUGACUGGUGGAGUCAAGGAUUCGAUUUGAAUUUGUGGUUGCAUCUAGUGGGUCGCUAGAUUGCCUACAUACCCUGUGAAGGGAUCAAACCAUUGUGGUUCAUAAAUUUUGGGAAUUUGGGAUUUUUCUUGGUUUUGUACCAAAAGGAUAUUUUUUAGGUUCCGACGUAUCUUUAACGAAACCAAAGCUUGGGUAUUUUGAAAUGGAAACCCGCAGCGUCAUGCUUUGUCGAAUUCUUCAAAUGGGCCCAAACUUGGACAUAGGCCCAAACUUGGACAUGAGCUUCUUUUGUAUCCUCGCGAGUCAUGUUCCUCGAUCCAUGAAGUUUUCUCAGCCCCAAAUUUAAUAUCGGCACCUUCAAUGUACCGAGCGGACUCCGAGUCUCAAUUUUUCUUGUGUAGAAUUCGGAGACAUGCGUCAAACUUUUAUUUUGGGCAUCAAAAUUUGCUAUGGACACCCAUAAACUUCUCAGAAACCCAAAGCUUUCCAGAGGCCCAGCUGCUAUAUUUUUUUAUUUUAUCAUUCUUUUAUUUUUCUUUUCUCACUACUGCUCGGCUUCACUCUCCACUACCUUCGGUCCACCCUAUUCGAAACACAGUAGGACACAAACUUCUGCAAAUUGGAUUUCGAGAUGGACUUGAGGGUGUAAGCCAACUUGGAGAUGGAAUUGCAACUGGGUUUUCGACACAAAAGAGUUCCCCAACAUCUAAAGCUUGCAAUCAGCUUCAUCCUCCUAUUCCGUGAAGAGAAAUUGGUGAUUUUGAAGUUAAGAUCAAAUACAAGUUAUGCUCUUUUGAACGCAGGUCUUGACAUCCUUCCAACUUUAUUUGUUUACACCUGCACGUCAAACUGUUCAGUUAAGAUCAAAUACAAGUUAUGCUCACAAAAGAACCUGUCCAAAGCUUAAUACCAAAGGAAGGAUGUCAAGACCUGCCUCUCGAAGUUUUUUUCUUUGGUGGCCGGAGACGAGAUCGACGACUAUAGUUUAGCCAAGUUUCAGAACUCCAGGAUUUAAACUCAAGGGUGAGUCUUUUUUUUAUGUUACCCACUGGUUUGUUUAGAAUAGGUGUUUUGGCAUGGAAGUUGGGACUGGCCUUUUUUUGGCUAUGGUGUUUUCAAAGGAUGUAGAGGGUAAUUAAUAUGUUGUGUUCAAGUGGAAUUAACAGAGUUUCUGUUAUUAUUUUUAUAUUGAACCACGACCCUCUGCUGGUUUCGGUGUAUUAAACUGCCGAAACAUGAGGAUGAUAACGGCACCCUAAGGCACGUCGUGUCAAAGUUCUGAAACAGUAUUGGCACCGUAAGGCACCGCCACCGGAGUUUUGAAAGAAGUUUCGGCACCCUAAGGCACGUCGAGUCGAAGUUCUGAAACAGUAUUGACACCGUGAGGCACCGCCACCGGAGCUUCGAAAGUAGUUUCGGCACCCUAAGGCACGCCGAAUGAAGCUCUGAAACAGUAUUGGCACCGAAAGGCACCGCCACCGGAGCUUUGAAAGUGGUAAAACCAUAAAGAGAUGCAGACGGAUUCUCCACCUUGAUUCCUGUGGAACAGCUGCGGCUUCUUCUCUGUCUCCUUUGCUUUCCUUCUCCUGCUGCUUCUGUUUUUCUUUCUUUUUUUCCGGCACAGCUCUCUUGGAUUUUUAUAUAAUGCACUGAUGGUAUGAUUGAGUUUUAGAGAGACUCCUGUAUUUGAUAUGCAUUGAAACACCAAAAGAUGGCUGUAGUCUUUAUCAUGGAAGUUCCCCCGUACGGGUUGCACUCAAACUCUAGUAUUUGAUAAGCUUGUGAGCAAAUAUGACGUGGGCCUUUGGCUUUCAUAGACUUUCUGUCUUUUUUAAUACUUUUUUUCUGGUUGCUUCUUUUAUUUUUUUUUUUUUUGUUUCAACACUACUACAACUGUUUUUGUACAAUGAUUUGAGUUUUGUAAUUGAUCUUUUUGGCAACUUUUUCAGUUUUAU